UUUAUCUUCAUUUAUCUUCCAUCUCUUUCUCUCUCUCUUCAGCAGCAUCUUCUGUCUCUUUCACUACUACUUAAUCAAUAACAUGUCAGUGUGAGGCUACUACUAAAAAUACUACUUAAUAACAUGUUAGUGUGGGACUACUACUAAAUAAAUUACUACUUAAUCAAAACAUGUUAGAAUGGGACUUUGGACAAAGGCUUAGAGUGUGACACAGUUGCUAGCAAGUUGUUGGUACGACCCGUAAUAGCGUCCGUCUCCGGAACUAACGUUAACUGUUUGUGUGUCACUUCGUGAUGAGGACGGCGGAGUAAAACGCGCCAGUGUUUAGUUUCUUAAAAGAUAUAAACGUCCCAAACUGCUGGAUGUGGUUUUAAAAGCUGAAACAAAGAUACACAGAGCAGGUCGGGGAGAAGAGGAACUUUAACAUGAAGUCAGAGAGGAAGCUGGCAGCGGACCAGGGGACAGAUUUACCUCCAGAUGUUCUGGAAGUGAUCAUUGGUGAAGAGGAGCAGCAGGAGUGUAGCCCUAGUGUCAAGCAGGAGGAGCAAGAGCCCCCCACACACAUUGAAAAGGAACAGGAGGCACUGUGAGAAGAGUCAGGAAGGAGAGCAGCUUCAAAGGCUGGAGGAGGCUGAUAUCACCAAGUUCCCAUUGACUCCUGUCCCUGUGAAGAUUGAAGAUGAGGAA